AGUGAACGCUGGCGGUAGGCCUAACACAUGCAAGUCGAACGGCAGCACAGUAAGAGCUUGCUCUUACGGGUGGCGAGUGGCGGACGGGUGAGGAAUACAUCGAAUCUACUUUUUCGUGGGGGAUAACGUAGGGAAACUUACGCUAAUACCGCAUACGACCUACGGGUGAAAGCAGGGGAUCUUCGGACCUUGCGCGAUUGAAUGAGCCGAUGUCGGAUUAGCUAGUUGGCGGGGUAAAGGCCCACCAAGGCGACGAUCCGUAGCUGGUCUGAGAGGAUGAUCAGCCACACUGGAACUGAGACACGGUCCAGACUCCUACGGGAGGCAGCAGUGGGGAAUAUUGGACAAUGGGCGCAAGCCUGAUCCAGCCAUACCGCGUGGGUGAAGAAGGCCUUCGGGUUGUAAAGCCCUUUUGUUGGGAAAGAAAAGCAGCAGGUUAAUACCCCGCUGUUCUGACGGUACCCAAAGAAUAAGCACCGGCUAACUUCGUG
rnacentral:rRNA from 1 species